rnacentral:rRNA from 1 species
AGUGAACGCUGGCGGUAGGCCUAACACAUGCAAGUCGAACGGCAGCACAGUAAGAGCUUGCUCUUACGGGUGGCGAGUGGCGGACGGGUGAGGAAUACAUCGGAAUCUACUUUUUCGUGGGGGAUAACGUAGGGAAACUUACGCUAAUACCGCAUACGACCUACGGGUGAAAGCAGGGGAUCUUCGGACCUUGCGCGAUUGAAUGAGCCGAUGUCGGAUUAGCUAGUUGGCGGGGUAAAGGCCCACCAAGGCGACGAUCCGUAGCUGGUCUGAGAGGAUGAUCAGCCACACUGGAACUGAGACACGGUCCCGACUCCGACGGGAGGCAGCAGUGGGGAAUAUUGGACAAUGGGCGCAAGCCUGAUCCAGCCAUACCGCGUGGGUGAAGAAGGCCUUCGGGUUGUAAAGCCCUUUUGUUGGGAAAGAAAAGCAGCAGGUUAAUACCCCGCUGUUCUGACGGUACCCAAAGAAUAAGCACCGGCUAACUUCGUG